GCUUUGGGUCAAUGGAUCAGAACAGCUCGAACCCUAGGGUCGAUUGGUUCGAUCCGCCCCUGCCUCUCGUGUCUCGUCCGUGCGGCGGCGAGCCAACACCCAUGCCGUUCGAUCCGCCCCUGCUUCCCGUCCAUACGCCGCUGGCGGCGGCGGCGGCGUCUCAACCACAACCGCUGCUCCCACCUGUUCUUGACCUCCUGCUCCCGGACUUCCGCUACUCCCGCUCGUGACGUCCACUGCUCCCGCUCGCCGGCGCCAUCCGCACAAGCCGCCAAGAAGAAGGGCGUCGUGGACUCGGGCACAGGAUGACCGGCGCCAUCCGCUGCUCUCCUUCCUCCUCCUCCCAAGGUAAGAAGGAGAGGGAGAGGGCAAAAUGGCGAAGCACAAGAAGCACUAGCAGAACUAUGUCAAGACACAGUUCAACCAGCCCGCCCGCAAGCAGAGGCGCCACAUAGGAUCGAUAUUUAGUACUGUCUGGUCCAACCCGAGCUGUUGUGUGGUCAGAUCAUGUCUCCAUUGAGGUUAAGAUGACAGUGAAGGGAAGAACUGAAUCUGAGGAUAAAGAUUUGAGCUUUUUAGUUGUGCCAUUACUUAUCGGUGAUACAGGAGCUUAGCACGUUGGAAUUUACACUUGGUCAUAUGGUUAGGUCUGUGGCGGCCACAAUAUUUGUGCGAGUGAUUGAUGGUUCAUGGCUAGACACUUUCCAUCAAUUGCUUAUGUCUUUAUGGCGAGUCAUUUGUUAAUCUGUACGUUUCUGAGUAUCAAGUAAUUACUGUAAUUUGUACGUUUCUGAGCUCCUAACUGAGCAUGCUACUACUGUAUCAAGUAAUAACUUUGCGAAGAAACUAUUUAUGAUACACUUGCUUGGUC